UACGGAGGGAGCUAGCGUUGUUCGGAAUUACUGGGCGUAAAGCGCACGUAGGCGGCUUUGUAAGUUAGAGGUGAAAGCCCGGAGCUCAACCCCGGAAUUGCCUUUAAGACUGCAUCGCUUGAAUCCGGGAGAGGUGAGUGGAAUUCCGAGUGUAGAGGUGAAAUUCGUAGAUAUUCGGAAGAACACCAGUGGCGAAGGCGGCUCACUGGACCGGUAUUGACGCUGAGGUGCGAAAGCGUGGGGAGCAAACAGG
rnacentral:rRNA from 1 species